CACGCGUGAGCAGCGACGACUAUUCGUGCAUUCCUCUUCAGUCUUAGGCACAAGAGCUAUUUAGCCUUGGCCGAUAUCAUGGUUUCCUGUGUUGUAUACCUUUUGGAUGGUAUUUGUUGGUCAAUAUUCAAACGGUCGUCUAAUGCCACCCUCGUUUCGUUGGUGACUGCAGGUGAUCCACAAAGCGGGGACUAUCGUCCUCAUUGCAUGUGUCCUAGACCUUGCUUUAGAGGCCGAUGGUUCUUUGCUCGGACUGAGGGAUUCGGAAAAUGCUGUUGGCAAAAGGUCUUUACUGAUCUUUAUUUGCCGCACUAAUCAAAAACAUUCGAACGACGUUCGGUGGUGCGAUGGCCUCACGGCCACGCACCCCGAUGUCCGUGAGGAAUGCUACCU
rnacentral:misc_RNA from 1 species